UGGGGAAUAUUGCGGCAAUGGGGGCAACCCUGACGCAGCAACGCCGCGUGAAGGAUGAAGGCUUUCGGGUCGUAAACUUUUGUCAUAAGGGACGAAAUUUGACGGUACCUUAUGAGGAAGCCACGGCUAACUACGUGCCAGCAGCCGCGGUAAUACGUAGGUGGCGAGCGUUGUCCGGAAUUACUGGGUGUAAAGGGCGCGUAGACGGGUAAGUAAGUCAGAUGUGAAAUACCGGGGCUCAACUCCGGGGCUGCAUUUGAAACUAUUUAUCUUGAGUGCAGGAGAGGGAAGCGGAAUUCCUAGUGUAGCGGUGAAAUGCGUAGAUAUUAGGAGGACACCAGUGGCGAAGGCGGCUUUCUGGACUGUAACUGACGUUGAGGCG
rnacentral:rRNA from 1 species